UUUCAACCCAUUUGUACUAACUUGGCGGCAAUAGUUCAAAACUGUAACACAAUCAUCGACAGUUUAGUGGCAAACUGAAAUGGGUGUUCAAGGUCUCUGGGAUCUCAUCGCCCCUGUUGGCCGCCGCGUCUCCGUCGAGACCCUCUCCGGGAAAAAACUGGCAAUCGAUGCGAGUAUAUGGAUUAUACAAUUCAUGAAAGCAAUGCGAGAUGAAAAGGGAGAGAUGGUGCGGAAUGCACAUAUUUUGGGAUUUUUCCGUCGAAUUUGCAAGCUACUUUACCUUCGGACCAAGCCAGUGUUUGUAUUUGACGGAGGUACACCUGCUCUGAAACGUCGAACAGUGAUUGCGCG
rnacentral:misc_RNA from 1 species